AAAUGAAAAGGGCAAUCCGAAAAAAGGCUGAUUUGAAUACCACUGGGGCUGUAAGUGAAUUUCUCUUUUUCUUUUUCUUUUCCUCCUUUCCUCACUCUUUUCUUUGCGUUGUUCUUUCGAUUCAAAAAAUUAAGGGGUGGACCCCUUUGAUGAUUGCAGCAAUGAAAGGACAAGAAGAAUCAGCGACUCUUC
rnacentral:ribozyme from 13 species